rnacentral:lncRNA from 1 species
GCCAAACUAAGAGAACGAUUUUUUUUUCCUAUGUAGCAUACAGAAACACACUUCCCAAGUUAAAGUAGAUUUUUAAAAGGCUGUAUCAUGUAAUGUUUUGUCACCAGUGAGAUUAGUGAGUUGGGAAAUGUAAUGGAAUUAGAAAAAAACCUGGGAAAGAAGGUGGUGAUAAGUGUUGGUUGCCAGUGACCAGAAGAAUCAGAUUUCUGCUAACAUUCUCAGUUCUUCCAAAGCCACUUCUCUUCAUCCUUCACUGACAAUUUGGAUGCAUACUGAAGAGGGCAUGAUGAAAAUCUCUGACCUGGUUUUGCAGUCAUGAGAGGUUUGGAGAGCGGCAAUUAAGAUCUAAACAUUUACUUGAUGUUUCAGUGAAGAAUUUCAACUUUAUGAGCCGCUUAACCAAAGUUAAGUAAUUUUUAUUUACUUUCUUUUUUGGAUCUUUGCAUACACUAACAUAUUGCUGUUUUUUAUAACCUGGCUCGUCAACCUCUGUGCAAGUUCUGAGGAGGUGGGGAGCUUUCCUGUGACCCAUUUUCAUCCUUUGAACCUAGACCAGCAACAGGCGUGCUCGUUAUUGUCGCUAUUUCUAAAAUGCACAAACAUUAUCACCAGGUAAAAGCCAGAUCCAUACCAAUGAAGUGAUCCUUCUACCAAUCAGAAAGUACUUGCCUAAAGUGAAUAUAACCUGACGUGGAAGUUAAAUUGCUGGUUCUGGAGAUGGCAGAGUAGGACAAGUGUGAGUGGAAAUUACAGGGAUGUAGAUUUUCCCUCCAUCUGAGGAAGAGCUUGGCAAUAAGUAGCUGUUGAAUUCCUGCUUCACGAUGGAGAAGGAGUUUCCUGUCUCUUGGAUGGAUUUUCGGGAGUCACAGAAGAGAUUAUUGUAUUGUUAGAUGCUCUAUCCUUCCCUCCCUUCCGUUUUCUCUGUCAUCUGUCUUCCUUUUUCAUCCCUUCCAUUUCUCCCUCCCUUUCCUUCCCUUCCCCCCUCUUCCUACUCACUCCUCACACGUGUAUUAAAUUCCUAUGGAGCAUCAGAUACUUUCCUUCUUAAUGUAAAGGUCUGUAAUCAAGAAUGGUGGAAGGGAAGAGCCUGGGUCCCUGAAGAGAUCACAGAACAGAGCUGCCAUAGCCAUCCUACAUUGCCUCCCUUUAGACCUUUAGGGAGAGAAAAAUAAAAGUCUAU